GGGGUUGUGGCUCAGUGGUAGAGUGCUUGCCUAGCAUGCAUGAGGCACUGGGUUUGAUCCUCAGCACUA
rnacentral:tRNA from 1 species